rnacentral:rRNA from 1 species
AUUGAACGCUGGCGGCAGGCUUAACACAUGCAAGUCGAGCGAGUGGCGGACGGGUGAGUAAUGUAUGGGAAACUGCCUGGUGGCGGGGGAUAACUACUGGAAACGGUAGCUAAUACCGCAUACCAUCAGAUGUGCCCAGAUGGGAUUAGCUAGUAGGUGGGGUAAUGGCUCAACUAGGCGACGAUCCCUAGCUGGUCUGCGAGGAGGACAGGCCACACUGGAACUGAGACACGGUCCAGACUCCUACGGGAGGCAGCAGUGGGGAAUAUUGCACAAUGGGCGCAAGCCUGAUGCAGCCAUGCCGCGUGUGUGAAGAAGGCCUUCGGGUUGUAAAGCACUUUCAGCGAGGAAGCGUUACUCGCAGAAUAAGCACCGGCUAACUCCGUGCCAGCAGCCGCGGUAAUUC